CCCUUAGAUGUUCUGGGCCGCACGCGCGCUACAAUGAUGCAUUCAACGAGUCUAAAACCUGCUCUGAUAGGGGUGGGUAAUCUUUUGAAUGUGCAUCGUGAUUGGGAUAGAUGAUUGAAAUUUUUCAUCUUCAACGAGGAAUGCCUAGUAAACGCAAGUCAUCAGCUUGCAUUGAUUACGUCCCUGCCCUUUGUACACACCGCCCGUCGCUCCUACCGAUUGAAUGAUCCGAUGAAUAUCAUGGAUUGAGGAUGCAAGUAGGUUCACCUAUCUUCAUCUUCGAGAAGUGAAGUAAAUCUUAUCAUUUAGAGGAAGGAGAAGUCGUAACA
rnacentral:rRNA from 1 species